CACACUCUAUGUGGGGCUGCCUUUGAAAAUGAUUCGGAAAUUGCAAUUGGUUCAAAAUGCAGCAGCCAGAAUGUUAACUGGAGCACAGCGCAGGGAACAUAUCAUUCCUGUGCUUUAUCGACUCCACUGGCUCCCAAUUUGUGUCCGGGCCCAAUUCAAAGUGCUGGUUCUGACCUUUAAAGCCUUAAACAGCCUUGGACCAAUAUACCUGAGGAACCGCUUACGCCCAUAUGUACCUGCCCGGGAUUUAAGAUCAUCUGCCUCUGGUCUCCUCUGCAUGCCUGGAAUAAAAUGUUAAACUGACAGGCAUGCGGGAGAGAGCUUUUUCAGCUGUGUCCCUCAAGCUUUGGAAUAUCCUACCCCAAAAAGUCUGCUCUGCUCCCUCCCUGUUGGUUUUCCGGAGACUUCUGAAACUGAUCUUGUUCUGGAGAGCCUUUGGGAGGGACUGACUGAAGAGUUAUACCGUACUCCAGUUCUUAAUUUUACUUUCCUGUUGAAGAUGCCGCCUUUGCUCCCAUAUUGCAGAAUCCAGCAGUGUGGUCUAUCACAACCUGCCACACAGCAAGGCAUCAAGGCCUAAUAUGUUGAUAUGCUGCUUCCAUGGGUAGAAACCACUCUCCAGCUGAAAGUUUCUUUGAGAGGAUCCUGGCACUGUCAUCUAUCCCUUUUUGUGUCCCAGUACUGGGUGCAAUGAAAAAAAAUCUGAAGGUCAUCUUCACUGGGAGGAGGUCAUAAUACAUACUAUUUUGUAUUUUAAACAAAGUAAGACUGAGCAAAGUAUUGCCAUGUAUUCCUCUACACAAAGAAACAAAAAUCUCUGACAAAGAAACAGAUUUUUCUUGAAUUUAAAAAAGAGCAUUAUUUUAAGCAGACUUGACUUGGCUGCAAGUAGACUAAUGCAUAUCAAGGCAAACUGGUGGUGCCAGCUCCCUAACUGCUUAGAGCUCAAGUAUAAAAGUUGGCAGAAGGAAUAUCAUUUUUGAGUUCUCUUGGGUUGGCUUCCUAUUCAAAGCUGUAGAUGCUUCUCCAUUCGCUCCCUCAGUUUGUAUUUCUGAAUCUAAGAUUGGAAUAUGGAGGAAAGAAGAGAGGAAUUAAUUCUGAAUGUGUAUAUAAUUAGGGACUGAACCUAUAAGACAAAGUAGCUCAUCUUUCUUCCCACGCCCUCCUUUCCUCAUAUGCUGUCCAUAUCCAUUGACAUGUUGCUAUCCAUCCUGUAAUGCACAUAGACUUGACUUUAUCUUUGACUCCUCUCUCAUAUUUUAUUCAUACCCAGUUCAUUGCCAAGUUGUAUUGCUUCUCCCUUUACAACACUGCUAAAAUACCAUCCUUCCUCUAUGCAAAAAGUUUGGUCCAUGCCUGUGGUCAUCUCUCAUCUAUGCUACUAUUGCAACCUUCUUUCUAGUUCUAUGUUGUCUCAUUUUGGACCUCUCACCUCUACCCAACACUCUGCUGCCAAAAUCAUUCACCUGUCUCUCUCAUUGCUCUGAUGACACGAUGACACUCCUAAUGCCCCUGCACUGACUUCCUGUCUACGCCUGGAUUCAACACAAGCUUCUUGCCCUUUCCUUCAAAACUCUCCAUGCCCUUACCUCUCUGCCUUUAUAUCCUAAUAUGUCUCCCAUCUAUUAUCUUUAUUCUCCAAGCUCCACCAUGUCCCACUGUCUAAAGGUCUCAAGCUCCCUUAAAAGACUCCAUAACCUUUCUUACUUGGUGCCCUGUAUGCUUGGAACUGCCUGCUAGAACAUCUGCAUGAUGCCACAUCUCUUACGUCUUUAAACCCACUUUUGGCCCACCCCCUCUAGUUCCAUGGCCAACAGUAACUCAAGCCUAAUCACCUGUAAUUGAAGCAAUCACAUUCUCUUUCCCUGUUUACACUACCUUCUCUUUCCUUCCUUUGUUGUUUCCACUGUGUCAGAUUUUAGGCCACACGUUCCUUGACUCAGGGAUCUGUCUUGUACUCUGUGAAGCACUAUGCAACCUAAUGGGGCUAAAGAAGAAGGAACACUUGGACUUCUAACACUCACCUUGCCUGAGACAGUGAGUGGAAAAUCCUUCACAAACACUAUGUACCGAGGGAUCUUGAAAUGUGCAAUCUGAAAAAGAAAAUCCAAUAGCUAGGAAGUGACAGAAUCCCCUAUAUGGCUUGCUUCUCGUUCCCUGCUUGAGCAGAGCUCAAAGUAAGUGCCUCUCAAGCCUGGAGUACAAAAUUACAUCCGAUCUAAAGCCAUAAAUCCAACUAAUGUCAGACAGAGGGAACUUCCACACCAGACAUUUAGUAUGGAACUGCCAUGCUUUAUUCACUCACUUUAUGAGGCAUCCACAUGAUGCUGUCAUCCAAUCACUGCCAUCCUGUGUUUUCCCCAUGGUCUUUCCAUCUUUCCUCACACCACAGAAAAUCAACUUUUUUCAGAAAUACAGAAGAGUAGCACAAACUCUACAAGGGUACUUUCAGCACUACUAUCCACUGCUUAUAGUGGAUGUGUGCUGAGGUUCAAAUGACUCUACCCCCAGCAACUAUGUCAUGCCCACACAUAGGAAUGGAACAUGGUGGAAUGUACACAUAGGAAAAGGGCAAUACUCCUAACAAUUUGGAACAUCAACUGCAAUUCUGCUUGUAGCUUACAAUGGAAGAGGAAUGAUUAGGUUAAGCUAGGAACCGCCCAUUUUGAAGCAGCCCAGUGUUGAUAAACUGCCUCUUAUAGAACCUCAACUCUCACCAUUCGAGAGUUGCCUCUUUCUUUUCAUUGGAAAAGCAGGAUGCAUCCUUCUAUUGAGGGUCCUACCUUCCCUUUGCAAAAUGCCUUGACUUCCUCUACUGUGCACUCUUCUCCAGCUUUCACUCUGAUGGUGGCACAGAUCUCCUCUCCCAUUCGCUUAUCUUUCACACCAACUACCUGAGCGGGAGAGAAGGAACAAGCUGAUCUUUGGGGCAGUGCAACUGAUUAGGGUCCUUUUCUUGACACUCAUCAAUCUCUUAUUUCCCUAAAUGGCACCGGGACCACACAGGGUUGUAUCAUAGGCCAAGACACAUUUAGCCUUAAGCAUUCAGCCAGACUACAGCAACUGAUGGUUCACCAUGUCCUACUUCACCAUUCGUCUCACCUGCACCUCUUGAAUCUUAGGAUGGGUAUGUAGGAAUUGUUCAAGCUCUGCUGGAUAUAUGUUCUCCCCUCCUCGGAUAAUCAUGUCUUUGCAACGACCUACAAUCUUGCAGUAGCCGUACUCGUCAAGAACAGCAAUGUCCCUGGAAUGAUAUCACAGUCAUCCACCCUGAUCCAGCCAUCCUGCUAGACUUCCCACUUCGAUGAUCAGUGUCCUGAUAUUUUGCAAAUAGUUCUCUGUACUAACAAAAUACUCAAUUCUGCAAUGUGGUAAGAUGUGACAUAGUAAGAUAUCCUAUGCUAGGGAACUAAGAAAGUGUGUGGUGGCUCCUCCUCCAUAGUGCUAUCUAUCUCAUGGUGGUGGCAGAAGCAGCACAUGAUUGGAUAAUAAGCAGCUAUGUGGGUAGGGUUGAUUGCAUGUUUUCCCCAACAGAUUACCAUCCCAUCAAGAGGGUUGUGAUCAGGUGGGAAAGCCACAAGACUAGCGCCAUCCACAAGCUGCUGGUAUUCACAUGUGUACUAAAGUCAUAUGGGAUACCUCCCACAGAGCCCCAUGUCUGUGUAUGAAACACAUCUGCCAGGUUUGGGUAGGACUUAAGCCUAGCACAGGCAUCUCACUGGCCUGCCAUCUGGAGAAACUACCUAAUCCCACUAUCUCAUAUUCAGCUCUAUACAAAUUUUAUGUGCUAGGUUAUUUUUAUGCUCAUUUCUCCAGUUAGGGGGACUGAAGUGGAGAAAUACUGACUUCCUCAAGAACAUUUACUGAACUUACAGUUCUGAUGGAAUUCUCCAUCCAGCACUCUACCCACUAAAUCAGGCUGGCUUCCCAAAGAUUAUCUAAUAAAUAAAUGGGUUCGUCCCCAA